ensembl:lncRNA
GAGGAUGAGCGUGGGAUAGGACAGGUAUGCUUUUAAAACGCCCCCAUUAGGUCUGGCCAGUGUGUGAAAAUAAGUGCCUGUGCACUGGAUGGAAUGGAGAGGAAUGAUCAAAAAAAGGGGGAAAGACAACAAGGCCUUUGAGUCAGAGAAGAUGGACACACUCCGAGGCUCUCUAGCACAGACUGGUUUUAGCAGAAGGCUUGGUUGCCAUAGUGAUAGCGGCAUGUGUCCUGAACCUCAAUCGGGGUGCUGGUCAUCUCCUUGGUAACCGUUAUCUUCCUGGCCUGGUAUUGGAUGACGAAACACUAUGGCGACUGGGUGUGGAAGAAGCUCUCUCCUAUCAAAGACCGAAACUGGUUCUUGAUCAGAUGGUAAGAAAUGUUUUGCUUCAGUUUUCCUACCCUUCCUGAUCAAAACAUGGAUGGAGGCUCACUGUCUUUAAAUCAUGCUGCAAACGAGCCAUUGUCAUAAUACAAAAAAUCCUUCUUAGUAGCUGUAACUACGGUAUGUAAUGUGCACGACCGUUCAGACACGUCUCCUGGCAACAGAAACAUCCCGACACUGAAGUUCCUUGUUUUUAAAAUCCGAAUGAGCUCUGAAUACAAACAAGGCAGGAUAAAGAAAACAAGACCAGUUGACGGCAAGUGACGUGUGAGAGAAAACCUGCUGUGUGCUACAGUAGAGCAAGGCAAAUGCACUGGCUCAAGGGUGCUUUUAAGUAAAAAGGUGAAGCCAUUGCACAAUAUAGACUAAAAAAACGAAGAAUUAACCCACUAAUUGAUCUACAACAAACAAAUAAAUGCUGAACUCAUCAGUCGCUGAUUUUUAUAGCCACAAAACUGACGUUACCUAGAAAGGUUUUAUAUUCAUCCGUAACUUCUUUGCAACACACGUGGCUUUCUCUUGCCAACGUAUCGCACACGUUCCUGAUGGUAAGUCUGUCUCUGUUCAUGUUGCUGGCGUUCCUCGCCUCCCUCCCUUGUCUGAUACUGGUUCUGUCUCUACAGCGCGUAGUGUACGUGUCACUGCUGGUGUCCAUGUCUUUUGUUGGUUUGCUGCUCUUCAUCUUCCUAAUGCAGAUAUUCUCCAAAUAGGUAGAGGAUGCACACCUACGCACACACACACACACACACACACACGCACACACACACACACACACACACACACACACACACACACACACACACACACGCGCACACACACACACAUACAGACACACUGCUGGUUCAUGUAUUGGACACAUGUUUUGCAGUGGUGUGGUCAAACUUGCAGUGCAGGAUUGGGCUACAGUUUGUCUUUGGUCUGCCGAUCCUCAGGACCAUUUUUGGCUUCGUUGGAAUUGAAUGGCUCGGAAAAAAAGUAGAGACUUUUAUGUCAUUUGCAGAUGUUGGGUCUAAGUUAGUGUUUGGUCUCAGUUACAACGACCACUUCUUCAUCUUCAAGAUUGGUCUCGGAUGCAGGUUACCAUGGCAACAUCUCCAGCCGAAUCGAUGGCUGCUGCUGGAAAUGUAUUCUUGGAACAGACAGUGUCACCUCUCCUUAUUCGUCCAUGCAUCAGUGGACUAACUUGCUCUGAGAUCCCUGCUGUGAUGACAGCAGGUUUUGCCAGCGUCUCUGGUGUUUUGGGAGCCUUUAUCUUCUUUUUCUGUAAAUAUUUACUUUGAGAAGGAGUUAAUAAUCAGCUUUAUUUGAUUAUCUAAUAUACAAGCUUUGCCAAGG